rnacentral:lncRNA from 1 species
UUUUUUUAAGUGUUGGCAUCUGUUGGGCGACUCGAUGACAGGAGAAGUUUUGGAUGCUAUCAAUAACAAACAAAUCCCUGAAGGUUGGAAUGACAUUGUGAUAGUUCUCAUGCCGAAAGUGGAUGAUCCAGAAUUAAUUACGCAAUAUAGGCCCAUCAGCUUGUGUAACGUGUUGUAUAAGGUAAUAUCCAAAAUGAUCGCUCUACAUCUUAAACAGGUGUUGGAUGAUAUUAUUUCUCGAGUACAGAGUGCCUUUGUUCCUGGAAGACUGAUUACUGAUAACAUAUUGUUGGCCUAUGAAAGUAUCCAUGCUAUUAAAAAUAAGAAGGGGAAAUGGGGUUAUUGUGCGGUAAAGCUGGACAUGCAUAAAGCUUAUGACUGAGUAGAAUUGCAAUUCCUACAGGAUAUGAUGAUUCAAUUAGGUUUUCAUCAAGAGUUUGUGGAGCUUCUAAUGGCGUGUGUACAAUCUAUAAAAUAUAAGGUGAGGUUUAAUAAUCAAGAAACAAACUCUUUCACCCAGAGAGGGGGCUUUGCCAGGGAGAUUCUCUCUCCCCAUACCUGUUUCUGAUUUGUGCUGAGGGCUUAUCUAGUUUGUUGUCUCAUAAAGAGGAGGUUCGUGGCAUAGAAGGUUUCAGGGUUUGCAGAAAUGCACCAUCAGUUUCCCAUUUAUUAUUUGCUGAUGAUUCCCUUGUCCUUAUGAAAGCAGAUAUGAAUAAUGCAACCUCAUUGAGACAGGUACUGGAGCUGUAUUGUGCAAGUUCUGGACAGCUUGUGAGUGAAGCAAAAUGCAGCAUAUAGUUUAGUAAUGUAAGUGUUGAAACAAAGGCCAAUAUAUGUACUGAACUAAAUAUUAUGUCAGAAGCUCUUUCUGACAAGUAUUUAGGAUUACCUGCAAUGGUGGGAGUAGACUGAAGUGACAGUUUUGUUCAUUUACUCGAAAGGAUCAUUGCUAGGCUAAAAAGUUGGAACGAAAAGUUUUUAUCCAUGGGGGGGAGGAAAUUUUGCUAAAAGCAGUCAUGCAAUCUAUUCCUGUCUUCGCUGUGUCUAUUUUCAAUAUCCCCAAGAAAUCAUGUAAGGAGAUGAUUGAUGCAAUGUCUGAAUUUUGGUGGGGUGGCUCUGAGAACACAAAACAUAUGCAUUGGAUGGCUUGGUGGAGGAUGUGCAUUUCCAGGAGGGGUGGAGGUAUGGGGUUUCGUGAUCUACAUUCUUUUAAUCUAACAAUGCUAGCAAAACAGUCAUGGAGACUUAUUUCUACUCCUGAUUCAUUUGUGCACAAGUACUGAAAUCUAAACAUUUCCCAAAUUGUUUAUUACUCAAACUGGCCCAAAGAAGGGGUCCAACUUUACCUGGCAAAGCAUUGUGGCGGGUCCGAACACUUUCCGAAGAGCACAUGCAUGGCGUGUUGGUACGGGUGAGAUGAUUAAUAUUUGGGAGGAUCAUUGGGUGCCAGGUAGUCCUUCUCGUAUGAUACAGACGCCAAAGGGGAAUAUUAUGCUACAGUAUGUAAACGAGCUAAUCAGUCCGGUUAGUGGUCUCUGGGAUGAGGUGUUGUUGAGAGAUAUAUUCUCUCCCAUUGACGUUGACAGAAUUCUUAAGAUUACACUAAGUGAACACGUAGGAGAUGUUGGAAAUAUGCCCUGGAGGCAAUAAUAAAAUGGUUAUUAUUAUAUUUCCUUGUUCAUGAUAAUCGUCUAUUGUUCAUGUUAUAAUUGUGUUAUCCGGAAAUCGUAAUACAUGUGCGAACACAUAGACCAUAACAUGUCCCUAGUGAGCCUCUAGUUGACUAGCUCGUUGAUCAAUAGAUGGUUACGGUUUCCUGACCAUGGACAUUGGAUGUCAUUGAUAACGGGAUCACAUCAUUAGGAGAAUGAUGUGAUGGACAAGACCCAAUCCUAAGCAUAGCACUAGAUCGUGUAGUUCGUUUGCUAAAGCUUUUCUAAUGUCAAGUAUCAUUUCCUUAGACCAUGAGAUCGUGCAACUCCCGGAUACCGUGGGAAUGCUUUGGGUGUACCAAACGUCACAACGUAACUGGGUGGCUAUAAAGGUGCACUACAGGUAUCUCCGAAAUCGGAUCGAGACUGGGAUUUGUCACUCCGUAUGACGGAGAGGUAUCUCUGGGCCCACUCGGUAAUGCAUCAUCAUAAUGAGCUCAAUGUAACUAAGUACUUAGUCACGGAUCAUGCAUUACGGAAUGAGUAAAGUGACUUGCCGGUAACGAGAUUGAACGAGGUAUUGGGAUACCGACGAUCGAAUCUCGGGCAAGUAACGUACCGAUUGACAAAGGGAAUUGUAUACGGGAUUGCUUGAAUCCUCGACAUCGUGGUUCAUCCGAUGAGAUCAUCGUGGAACGUGUGGGAGCCAACAUGGGUAUCCAGAUCCCGCUAUUGGUUAUUGGCUAGAGAGGUGUCUCGGUCAUGUCUGCAUGAUUCCCGAACCCGUAGGGUCUACACACUUAAGGUUCGAUGACGCUAGGGUUAUAAGGAAGGUUUGUAUGUGAUUACCGAAUGUUGUUCGGAGUCCCAGAUGAGAUCCUGGACGUCACGAGGAGUUCCGUAUUGGUCCGGAGGUGAAGAUUUAUAUAUGGGAAGUCAUCAUACGGUCACCGGAAAUAUUCGGAGGUAUACCGGUAUUGUACCGGGACCACCGGAGGGGUUCCGGGAGUCCACCUGCCCCGGAGGGCCCUAUGGGCUAUAGGUGGAAGGGAACCAGCCCCUAAGUGGGCUGGGCGCCAUCCCCCUAGGGCCCAUGCGCCUAGGGUUGGGAGGAACCCUAAAAGGGGGCGCCCCCUUGCUUGGGGGGCAAGCCCCCUCCCCCUUGGCCGUCGCCCCCCCUCUAGAUCUCAUCUAGAGGGGCCGGCCCCCUUCCCCCUUUUCCCUAUAAAUAGAGGGGUGGAGGGAGGGCUGCAGCACCACAUCCAAGGCGCAGCCCCUCCCCUCCCCAACACCUCUCCUCCUCCGCGUGAGCUUGGCGAAGCCCUGCCGGAGAACUGCCACUCCACCACCACCACGCCGUCGUGCUGCUGUUGGAGCCUUCUUCCUCAACCUCUCCCUCCUCCUUGCUGGACCAAGGCGCGGGAGACGUCACCGGGCUGCACGUGUGUUGAACGAGGAGGCGCCGUUGUUCGGCGCUUGGAUCGGAAUCAACCGCGAUCUGAAUCGCUACGAGUACGACUCCCUCAUCUGCGUUCUUGUAACGCUUCCGUCUCGCGAUCUUCAACGGUAUGAAGAUGCACUUCCCUCUCUCUCGUUGCUAGUUACUCCAUAGAUUGAUCUUGGUGAUGCGUAGAAAUUUUUUAAUUUCUGCAACGAUCCCCAACAGGAGAGGAUUUCAUUGCCUGGCAUUAUACAAAAUCCUAUACUUUCUCCGUACGAUUUGCUUACUAUAUUGAAUGGGACCAUUCCCAUCGACAUAGACUAACUCUUGAAGAUGGCUAGAGUACAUCAAGGCGCAACCCUGUGUGGGACAUUUUAUGGAAAUUACAAGUGCCAAACAAAGUUAAAAUCUUUGGGUCGAAGGCUUUAGAUGGCAUGAUUCCAGGUUUUGCUAUUCUUGCUAAUAGGCAUAUUCCAAUUACUGCCCAGUGUCCUGUAUGUGAAAGUGGCCAUGAAGAUAUAAAACAUCUUAUGUUCACUUGUGUUCGUGAAAAAACAGUUUGGAAUUCUUUGGGGUUGCUGCAGUAUAUCAAUGAAGUUGUUCCAGUGGACCGAUCGGGUUCAGUCAUUUUGGAAGAAAUACUUUGACGGCCACAAAAUAAUUCUCUGGUGAUCAAGGGGGGUUUGAAGGAACUAAUCCUAGUGGGGGCAUGGUAUAUCUGGUGGCAAAGAAGGGAGUAUGUUAAGGGUCAACGUGUGGCAGAACCAGCUAGCUCAGCUUUCUCAAUUCAAGCCUUGACAUGUAAUUUUAUGGGAGCACAACUUAACUAUGAACCUCGUGAGAUCGCUUGGUCUAAGCCACCAGGUAAUACAUAUAAACUAAAUGUGGACGCUGCUUUCUCUGAAAAUGGAUAUGGAGGUGCGGGCGCUGUGGUACGCAACGACAGGGGAGAGGCGAACGCGGGUGCAUGAUGGCCGCUGCAGAAUCUUCUUGACGCGGCAAAUGCUGAAGAUACGACUCUCUUGAAAGGAUUAUGUUUAAUUGAGACUCUGGAUUGUGCUCCAGUUAUCAUAGAAUCUGACUCGUUGGAGCUUGUGGAAGCCUUCAAGGGAGUAAUUCAAGUCUGGUCCCCGUAUUUGGCGAUUCUUGCAGAUUGUUUCCAGGUUGCCUACAGGAUUGGCUCAAUUUCAAUUCAACACUGCUCCAGGGAGGCAAAUUUCGUGGCGCAUAAUUUAGCUAAACAUGCUUUUGUUUCUAAUUCUGCCGUUUUUGGGAUGAUGAUCCCCCUAGUUUCAUUAUCCCGGCCGUAAUGAAUGAUGUAUCUUUGUUUGAAUUGCAAUAAAACGCACCAUGAAGGCUUUCCCUGAAAAAACACGCGUCCCAUGAUAUCCAACUUUGGAGUCGAUUUUUAGGGUGAACUGAAAAACCAUGUGAUGGUUGGUGGGAGGGAAAUUUCUGUUGGAAAUAUGCCCUAGAGGCAAUAAUAAAUGGUUAUUAUUAUAUUUCUUUGUUCAUGAUAAUCGUCUAUUGUUCAUGCUAUAAUUGUAUUGUCCGGAAAUCGUAAUACAUGUGUGAAUGCAUAGACCACAACAUGUCCCUAGUAAGCCUCUAGUUGACUAGCUCGUUGAUCAACAGAUAGUCAUGGUUUCUGACUAUGGACAUUGGAUGUCAUUGAUAACGGGAUCACAUCAUUAGGAGAAUGAUGUGAUGGACAAGACCCAAUCCUAAGCAUAGCAUAAAAGAUCGUGUAGUUUCGUUUGCUAGAGCUUUUCCAAUGUCAAGUAUCUUUUCCUUAGACCAUGAGAUUGUGCAACUCCCGGAUACCGUAGGAGUGCUUUGGGUGUGCCAAACGUCACAACGUAACUGGGUGACUAUAAAGGUGCACUACGGGUAUCUCCGAAAGUGUCUGUUGGGUUGGCAUGGAUCGAGACUGGGAUUUGUCACUCCGUGUGACGGAGAGGUAUCUCUGGGCCCACUCGGUAAUGCAUCAUCAUAAUGAGCUCAAUGUGACUAAGGGUUAGUCACGGGAUCAUGCAUUGUGGUACGAGUAAAGAGACUUGCCGGUAACGAGAUUGAACAAGGUAUUGGGAUACCGACGAUCGAAUCUCGGGCAAGUAACAUACCGAUUAACAAAGGGAAUUGCAUACGGGGUUGAUUGAAUCCUCGACACCGUGGUUCAUCCGAUGAGAUCAUCGUGGAACAUGUGGGAGCCAACAUGGGUAUCCAGAUCCCGCUGUUGGUUAUUGACCGGAGAGGCGUCUCGGUCAUGUCUGCUUGUCUCCUGAACCCGUAGGGUCUACACACUUAAGGUUCGGUGACGCUAGGGUUAUAGAGAUAUGUGUAUGCGGAAACCCGAAAGUUGUUCGGAGUCCCGGAUGAGAUCCCAGACGUCACGAGAGGUUCCGGAAUGGUCCGGAGGUGAAGAAUUAUAUAUAGGAAGUCAAGUUUCGGCCAUCGGGAAAGUUUUGGGGGUUACCGGUAUUGUACCGGGACCACCGGAAGGGUCCCGGGGGUCCACCGGGUGGGGCCACCUAUCCCGGAGGGCCCCGUGGGCUGAAGUGGGAAGGGAACCAGCCCCUAGUGGGCUGGGCGCCCCCCCAUGGGCCUCCCCCCAUGCGCCUAGGGUUGGGAACCCUAGGGUGGGGAGGGCUUCCCACUUGCCUUGGGGGGCAAGGCACCCCCUUUCCCCCUUUGGCCGCCGCCCCCCCCCCCCUUGAGAUCCCAUCUCCAGGGCCGGCGCCCCCCCAGGGGGCCUAUAUAAAGGGGGGGAGGGCAGCAACAAGACAGCCUUGGGCGCCUCCCUCCUCCCCUGCUACACCUCUUCGUCUCGCAGAAGCUCGGCGAAGCCCUGCCGAGACCCGCUACAUCCACCACCACGCCGUCGUGCUGCUGGAUCUCCAUCAACCUCUCCUUCCCCCUUGCUGGAUCAAGAAGGAGGAGACGUCGCUGCACCGUACGUGUGUUGAACGCGGAGGUGCCGUCCGUUCGGCACUCGGUCAUCGGUGAUUUGGAUCACGGCGAGUACGACUCCGUCAUCCACGUUCAUUGGAACGCUUCCGCUCGCGAUCUACAAGGGUAUGUAGAUGCACUCCUUUCCCCUCGUUGCUAGUAUACUCCAUAGAUGCAUCUUGGUGAGCGUAGGAAAAUUUUAAAUUAUGCUACGAUUCCCAACAGUGGCAUCAUGAGCCAGGCCUAUGCGUAGUUACUAUGCACGAGUAGAACACAAAGCAGUUGUGGGUGUUGAGUUUGCCAAUUCUUCUUGCCGCUACUAGUCUUUUCUUGUUUCGGCGGUAUUGUAGGAUGAAGCGGCCCGGUCCGACCUUACACGUACGCUUACGUGAGACAGGUUCCACCGAUUGACAUGCACUAGUUGCAUAAGGUGGCUAGCGGGUGUCUGUCUCUCCUACUUUAGUCGGAACGGAUUCGAUGAAAAGGGUCCUUAUGAAGGGUAAAUAGAAAUUGGCAAAUCACAUUGUGGUCAUACGUAGGUAAGAAACGUUCUUGCUAGAAACCUAUAAACCACGUAAAAACUUGCAACAACAAUUAGAGGACGUCUAACUUGUUUUUGCAGCAAGUGCUAUGUGAUGUGAUAUGGCCAGAAGAUGUGAUGAAUGAUAUAUGUGAUGUAUGAGAUUGAUCAUAUUCUUGUAAUAGGAAUCACGACUUGCAUGUCGAUGAGUAUGACAACCGGCAGGAGCCAUAGGAGUUGUCUUUAUUAUUUUACAUGACCUGCGUGUCAUUGAAUAACGCCAUGUAAAUUACUUUACUUUGUUGCUAAACGCGUUAGCCGUAGAAGUAGAAGUAAUCGUUGGCGUGACGACUUCAUGAAGACACAAUGAUGGAGAUCAGGAUGAUGGAGAUCAUGGUGUCAUGCCGGUGACGAAGAUGAUCAUGGUGCCCCGAAGAUGGAGAUCAAAGGAGCAUAAUGAUAUUGGCCAUAUCAUGUCACUAUUUGAUUGCAUGUGAUGUUUAUCAUGUUUUUGCAUCUUAUUUUCUUAGAACGACGGUAGUAAGUAAGAUGAUCCCUUAUAAUAAUUUCAAGAAAGUGUUCACCCUAACUGUGCACCGUUGCGAAGGUUCGUUGUUUCGAAGCACCACGUGAUGAUCGGGUGUGAUAGAUUCUAACGUUCGAAUACAACGGGUGUUGACGAGCCUAGCAUGUACAGACAUGGCCUCGGAACACACGCAAUACACUUAGGUUGACUUGACGAGCCUAGCAUGUACAGACAUGGCCUCGGAACACGGAGGACCGAAAGGUUGAGCAUGAGUCGUAUAGAAGAUACGAUCAACAUGGAGAUGUUCACCGAUCUUGACUAGUCCGUCUCACGUGAUGAUCGGACACGGCCUAGUUAAACUCGGAUCAUGUUUCACUUAGAUGACUAGAGGGAUGUCUAUCUGAGUGGGAGUUCAUUAAAUAAUUUGAUUAGAUGAACUUAAUUAUCAUGAACUUAGUCUAAAAUCUUUACACUAUGUCUUGUAGAUCAAAUGGCCAACGUUGUCCUCAAUUUCAACGCGUUCCUAGAGAAAACCAAGCUAAAAGAUGAUGGCAGCAACUAUACGGACUGGGUCCGGAACCUGAGGAUCAUCCUCAUAGUAGCCAAGAAAGAUUAUGUCCUAGAAGCACCGCUAGGUGAUGCACCAAUCCCACAGAACCAAGACGUUAUGAACGCUUGGCAGCAGCGUGCUGAUGAUUACUCCCUCGUUCAGUGCGGCAUGCUUUACAGCCUAGAACCGGGUCUCCAAAAGCGUUUUGAGAAACAUGGAGCAUAUGAGAUGUUCGAGGAGCUGAAAUUGGUUUUCCAAGCUCAUGCUCGGGUCGAGAGAUAUGAAGUCUCCGACAAGUUCUUCAGCUGUAAAAUGGAGGAGAACAGUUCUGUUAGUGAGCACAUACUCAGAAUGUCUGGGUUGCAUAACUGCUUGUCUCAGCUGGGAGUCAAUCUCCCGGAUGACGCGGUCAUUGACAGAAUCCUCCAGUCGCUUCCACCAAGCUACAAGAGCUUUGUGAUGAACUUCAAUAUGCAGGGGAUGGAAAAAACCAUUCCCGAGGUAUAUUUAAUGCUGAAAUCAGCAGAGGUGGAGAUCAGAAAAGAACAUCAAGUGUUGAUGGUGAAUAAAACCACUAAGUUCAAGAAGGGCAAGGGUAAGAAGAACUUCAAGAAGGACGGCAAGGGAGUUGCCGCGCCCGGUAAGCCAGUUGCCGGGAAGAAGUCAAGGAAUGGACCCAAGCCCGAGACUGAGUGCUUUUAUUGCAAGGGAAGUGGUCACUGGAAGCGGAACUGCCCCAAAUACUUAGCGGACAAGAAGAAGGCCGGCAACACCAAAGGUAUAUGUGAUAUACAUGUAAUUGAUGUGUACCUUACCAGUACUCGUAGUAGCUCCUGGGUAUUUGAUACCGGUGUGGUUGCUCAUAUUUGUAACUCAAAACAGGAACUACGGAAUAGACGGAGACUGGCAAAGGACGAGGUGACGAUGCGCGUCGGGAAUGGUUCCAAGGUCGAUGUGAUCGCCGUCGGCACGCUACCUCUGCAUCUACCCACGGGAUUAGUUUUAAACCUCAAUAAUUGUUAUUUAGUACCAGCUUUGAGCAUGAACAUUGUAUCUGGAUCUCGUUUAAUUCGAGAUGGCUACUCAUUUAAAUCCGAGAAUAAUGGUUGUUCUAUUUAUUUGAGAGAUAUGUUUUAUGGUCAUGCCCCGCUGGUCAAUGGUUUAUUUUUGAUGAAUCUCGAACGUGAUGUUACACAUGUUCAUAGUGUGAAUACCAAAAGAUGUAAAGUUGAUAACGAUAGUCCCACAUACUUGUGGCACUGCCGCCUUGGUCACAUUGGUGUCAAGCGCAUGAAGAAGCUCCAUGCAGAUGGACUUUUGGAGUCUCUUGAUUACGAAUCAUUUGACACGUGCGAACCAUGCCUCAUGGGUAAGAUGACCAAGACUCCGUUCUCCGGAACAAUGGAGCGAGCAACCAACUUAUUGGAAAUCAUACAUACCGAUGUGUGCGGUCCAAUGAGUGUUGAGGCUCGCGGAGGAUAUCGUUAUGUUCUCACUAUCACUGAUGAUUUAAGUAGAUAUGGGUAUGUAUACCUAAUGAAACACAAGUCUGAAACCUUUGAAAAGUUCAAGGAAUUUCAGAGUGAAGUCGAGAAUCAACGUGACAGGAAAAUAAAAUUCUUACGAUCAGAUCGUGGUGGAGAAUAUUUAAGUCACGAAUUUGGUACACACUUAAGGAAAUGUGGAAUAGUUUCACAACUCACGCCGCCUGGAACACCUCAGAGAAAUGGUGUGUCCGAACGUCGUAAUCGCACUCUAUUGGAUAUGGUGCGAUCUAUGAUGUCUCUUACCGAUUUACCGCUCUCAUUUUGGGGUUAUGCUUUAGAGACUGCCGCAUUCACUUUAAAUAGGGCUCCGUCGAAAUCCGUUGAGACGACACCGUAUGAAUUAUGGUUUGGGAAGAAACCUAAGCUGUCGUUUCUAAAAGUUUGGGGAUGCGAUGCUUAUGUCAAGAAACUUCAACCUGAAAAGCUCGAACCCAAAUCGGAAAAAUGCGUCUUCAUAGGAUACCCUAAGGAAACUAUUGGGUACACCUUCUACCUCAGAUCCGAAGGCAAGAUCUUCGUUGCCAAGAAUGGGUCCUUUCUAGAGAAGGAGUUUCUCUCGAAAGAAUUGAGUGGGAGGAAAGUGGAACUUGAUGAGGUGAUAGUCACCCCUUCCGAACCGGAAAGUAGCGCAGCGCGGGAAAAUGUUCCUGUGGUGCCUACACCGACUGGGGAGGAAGUUAAUGAUGAUGAUCAUGAAGCUUCGGAUCAAGUUACUGAACUUCGUAGGUCCACAAGGACACGUUCCGCACCAGAGUGGUACGGCAACCCUGUCCUGGAAAUCAUGUUGUUAGACAACGGUGAACCUUCAAACUAUGAAGAAGCGAUGGCGGGCCCGGAUUCCGACAAAUGGCUAGAAGCCAUGAAAUCCGAGAUAGAAUCCAUGUAUGAAAACAAAGUAUGGACUUUGACUGACUUGCCCGAUGAGCGGCGAGCCAUAGAAAACAAAUGGAUCUUUAAGAAGAAGACGGACGCGGAUGGUAAUGUGAGCAUCUACAAAGCUCGACUUGUCGCUAAGGGUUAUCGACAAGUUCAAGGGGUUGACUACGAUGAGACUUUCUCACCCGUAGCGAAGCUGAAGUCCGUCUGAAUCAUGUUAGCAAUUGCUGCAUACUAUGAUUAUGAGAUAUGGAAGAUGGACGUCAAAACGGCAUUCCUUAACGGCUUCCUUAAGGAAGAGUUGUAUAUGAUGCAGCCGGAAGGUUUUGUCGAUCCUAAGAAUGCUAACAAAGUAUGCAAGCUCCAACGCUCAAUCUAUGGGCUGGUGCAAGCAUCUCGGAGUUGGAACAUUCGCUUUGAUGAGAUGAUCAAAGCGUUUGGGUUUACACAGACUUAUGGAGAAGCCUGUGUUUACAAGAAAGUGAGUGGGAGCUCUGUAGCAUUUCUCAUAUUAUAUGUGGAUGAAAUACUAUGAUGGGAAAUGAUAUAGAAUUCUUGGAAAGUAUAAAGGCCUAUUUGAAUAAGUGUUUUUCAAUGAAGGACCUUGGAGAAGCUGCUUAUAUAUUAGGCAUCAAGAUCUAUAGGGAUAGAUCAAGACGCCUCAUUGGUCUUUCACAGAGUACAUACCUUGACAAGAUAUUGAAGAAGUUCAAUAUGGAUCAGUCCAAGAAGGGGUUCUUGCCUGUAUUGCAAGGUGUGCAGUUGAGCACGGCUCAAUGCCCGACCACGGCAGAAGAUAGAGAAAAGAUGAGUGUGAUCCCCUAUGCCUCGGCCAUAGGGUCUAUUAUGUAUGCCAUGCUGUGUACCAGACCUGAUGUAAACCUUGCCGUAAGUUUGGUAGGAAGGUACCAAAGUAAUCCCGGCAUGGAACACUAGACAGCGGUCAAGAAUAUCCUGAAGUACCUGAAGAGGACUAAGGAUAUGUUUCUCGUUUAUGGAGGUGACGAAGAUCUUGACUAGUCCGUCUCACGUGAUGAUCGGACACGGCCUAGUUAACUCGGAUCAUGUUUCACUUAGAUGACUAGAGGGAUGUCUAUCUGAGUGGGAGUUCAUUGAAUAAUUUGAUUAUAUGAACUUAAUUAUCAUGAACUUAGUCUAAAAUCUUUACAAUAUGUCUUGUAGAUCAAAUGGCCCACGUUGUCCUCAACUUCAACGCGUUCCUAGAGAAAACCAAGCUGAAAGAUGAUGGCAGCAACUAUACGGACUGGGUCCGGAACCUGAGGAUCAUCCUCAUAGCAGCCAAGAAAGAUUAUGUCCUAGAAGCACCGCUAGGUGAAGCACCAAUCCUAGAGAACCAAGACGUUAUGAACGCUUGGCAAUCACGUGCUGAUGAUUACUCCCUCGUUCAGUGCGGCAUGCUUUACAGCUUAGAACCGGGGCUCCAAAAGCGUUUUGAGAAGCAUGGAGCAUAUGAGAUGUUCGAAGAGCUGAAAAUGGUUUUCCAAGCUCAUGCCCGGGUCGAGAGAUAUGAAGUCUCUGACAAGUUCUUCAGCUGUAAAAUGGAGGAGAAUAGUUCUGUUAGUGAGCACAUACUCAGAAUGUCUGGGUUACACAACCGCUUGUCUCAGCUGGGAGUUAAUCUCCCGGAUGACGCGGUCAUUGACAGAAUCCUUCAGUCGCUUCCACCAAGCUACAAGAGCUUUGUGAUGAACUUCAAUAUGCAGGGGAUGGAAAAGACCAUUCCUGAGGUAUAUUCGAUGCUGAAAUCAGCGGAGGUGGAGAUCAGAAAAGAACAUCAAGUGUUGAUGGUGAAUAAAACCACUAAGUUCAAGAAGGGCAAGGGUAAGAAGAACUUCAAGAAGGACGGCAAGGGAGUUGCCGCGCCCGGUAAGCCAGUUACCGGGAAGAAGUCAAAGAAUGGACCCAAGCCUGAGACUGAGUGCUUUUAUUGCAAGGGAAGUGGUCACUGGAAGCGGAACUGCCCCAAAUACUUAGCGGACAAGAAGGCCGGCAACACCAAAGGUAUAUGUGAUAUACAUGUAAUUGAUGUGUACCUUACCAGUACUCGUAGUAGCUCCUGGGUAUUUGAUACCGGUGCGGUUGCUCAUAUUUGUAACUCAAAACAGGAACUGCGGAAUAAGCGGAGACUGGCGAAGGACGAGGUGACGAUGCGCGUCGGGAAUGGUUCCAAGGUCGAUGUGAUCGCCGUCGGCACGCUACCUCUGCAUUUACCUACGGGAUUAGUUUUAAACCUCAAUAAUUGUUAUUUAGUGCCAGCUUUGAGCAUGAACAUUGUAUCUGGAUCUCGUUUAAUUCGAGAUGGCUACUCAUUUAAAUCCGAGAAUAAUGGUUGUUCUAUUUAUAUGAGAGAUAUGUUUUAUGGUCAUGCCCCGCUGGUCAAUGGUUUAUUCUUGAUGAAUCUCGAACGUGAUGUUACACAUAUUCAUAGCGUGAAUACCAAAAGAUGUAAAGUUGAUAACGAUAGUCCCACAUACUUGUGGCACUGCCGCCUUGGUCACAUUGGUGUCAAGCGCAUGAAGAAGCUCCAUGCAGAUGGACUUUUGGAGUCUCUUGAUUACGAAUCAUUUGACACGUGCGAACCAUGCCUCAUGGGUAAGAUGACCAAGACUCCGUUCUCCGGAACAAUGGAGCGAGCAACCAACUUAUUGGAAAUCAUACAUACCGAUGUGUGUGGUCCAAUGAGUGUUGAGGCUCGCGGAGGAUAUCGUUAUGUUCUCACUCUCACUAAUGAUUUAAGUAGAUAUGGGUAUGUCUACCUAAUGAAACACAAGUCUGAAACCUUUGAAAAGUUCAAGGAAUUUCAGAGUGAAGUUGAGAAUCAACGUGACAGGAAAAUAAAAUUCUUACGAUCAGAUCGUGGUGGAGAAUAUUUAAGUCACGAAUUGUAACAUCCCAAAUUUUCAAUUUGGUAUGUUAUACAUAGAUCAUCAUUGCAUAUCAUGUUUUAUUGCAUUUUGACAAAUCCUCGAUAAAUCCUAAGCAACUCAAGGACCCUCGGAGAGAGUUGGGGAUUUUCUCGAAUUUUUAAAUUUGAUUUUCAUCAAAUAUUAAGACGAGGAUUUUGGUUUUAAUUAUUUUCUCUCCGGAAAAAUAUUUCAUCUUAUACAUAAACGAGAGGAGAAAAUAUGACUUCUCCAAAACAAUUGAAAUACUGGAGGAAAAAUGUUAAAAUCAUUUAUUGGAAUUUAUUUGGAUUUUAUUUGCAAUUUUUAUUGCAUUAAAAAUAUUGCAUGUUUUUAAAAUAUUUAUUUUGUGUUAAAAAACUGUUCACCCUAUUCUAGAUUUUCUAACUAGACGGGGAAAAUUUAUUUUAUAUUUUUCUGACUUUUAUUUAUUUUUCUAUGAAUUAUUUUCCGCGGAACGUUUUAAAAAAAACACGCGCGUGCCCGCCGGGCCAAGCCCAGCCGCCAGGCCGCCGGCCCACCCCGCGCCCCUCUCCUCUCCCCGCACGGCCGCCGCCGCCGCCGUGNNNNNNNNNNNNNNNNNNNNNNNNNNNNNNNNNNNNNNNNNNNNNNNNNNNNNNNNNNNNNNNNNNNNNNNNNNNNNNNNNNNNNNNNNNNNNNNNNNNNNNNNNNNNNNNNNNNNNNNNNNNNNNNNNNNNNNNNNNNNNNNNNNNNNNNNNNNNNNNNNNNNNNNNNNNNNNNNNNNNNNNNNNNNNNNNNNNNNNNNNNNNNNNNNNNNNNNNNNNNNNNNNNNNNNNNNNNNNNNNNNNNNNNNNNNNNNNNNNNNNNNNNNNNNNNNNNNNNNNNNNNNNNNNNNNNNNNNNNNNNNNNNNNNNNNNNNNNNNNNNNNNNNNNNNNNNNNNNNNNNNNNNNNNNNNNNNNNNNNNNNNNNNNNNNNNNNNNNNNNNNNNNNNNNNNNNNNNNNNNNNNNNNNNNNNNNNNNNNNNNNNNNNNNNNNNNNNNNNNNNNNNNNNNNNNNNNNNNNNNNNNNNGGAGCCCCGCCGGAGCACUACCCCGACGAGGUACUGCCUCACUGCCCCGUUCGUCGUUGCCGGUUUUUGUUAAAAAAAACCCUUAGUUUUUUAAAAAGAAAAAAAACCUAGAUCGGUUUUUUUUCGGUUUUAUUAUUUUGCGAGCGUUCACCGAACCGUUCGUUUUAACGAACGCGUUCGUCGGUUUUUCUCUGUUAACGAACGUCCGUUCUUUAACCGUUCGUCCGUUUUUCUUUUUCGUCGGAUUUUUCUGCGAUUAUCUCAGAUUCGAUUCCUGAUCGAAUCUUCGUUUCUGUUUAACUUUUCGCUCGUUUAUCGGAAUCAGGCGAUUCAAGCGCCUAGAGUUUCGUCUCGAAAUUCUCUUUCCGUUUAACCUACUCAAACAAGUUUUUGCUACAGUAAAAUUUGACCUAGAUCCAGAUUAGUAAACAAAGUUUCUUUCUUUCGCAGUUUGACUUUCGUUAUUUCUUUCGAGUUGAUUCUUUUUGCAAACCGGAGUUCUUAAGUUGAACUUUCUGGUUGGAUCUUUCAUUCGAGUUUUACCUGUGCAUUAGAUGAGUACUGAUUGUAUGCUUGUUUGUUUGCGAUAGAGUACCCGGAGUGUGCCGCUUGUUACUUCGAAUCGCUAGGUUUUGCGGAUCAUCGGCAAGGCAAGUAACACUUUGAUCAUACCUUUCCAUACCCAGUUUUAUUGCAUUAGAUCUAUUCCUCAAACAUUGCAUGACUAGGAUCUAAUUAAAUUGUGGGUAUUGGGAAGUAGUUGAGGUAGCACCUAUUACCUGUAUUCUUAUCAAACCCUUGGGAGUUACUUCUACGUUGCUUUUAUUAUUGCCAUGCUAUGCUCGUAGACGUGGAUUGGGUUUGAGUGAAAUUCAUGACAGAUGUGAGAUUGUUAACAAUGGUUUACCUAAGGUGGCAACUAAAACUCACAUCUGGGUGGAUUGAGGUACCUGGGUAUUCCAGGAUUGCCUGUUUUUCUUUUGGACCGCCACCCAGGUUCCAAGGGAUCAUAAGAUUAUUCAUGCUAGAAACUUCCGUGUGCAGCCGCAAGCUAUUAUGGGCUCUAGCAUAGUUGAUUAAGUUGUGUGAACUCUUACAGUGGUAGACUAGCAGAUGUAGGGGAAAGUAGGUGUAACUGUCUACCCAUACGUAAAGUGCAAACACUUCUGAAAGACUGUGUCUUGGUCAUCCGUUACUCAAACACCAUGUAGUGCGAGUAAUCCAACGGAGGAGAUCAAGUCUUGUGGGGAAAAGUGCACAAACCUCUGCAGAGUGUACAAACUAAUCAUGGUUAGCCAUGUCCCCGGUUAUGGACAACUUGAGUAUCUAGUACUUGGAUUAUCAUGUGAAUCUCAUCACUAUGUUACUUCUAAUUAAUUUUGUUGGGUUAUUGAUGACAUUUAAUUGGGAUUGAGAUGCUGUCAACCAUCUCAAUGUUUCACAACCACCAUGAUAGUUAAAUAAAAUUUAUUCCUUUGAAGUAGGAUAAAAUUGGCUUUUCGCAAAAAUUGAAACCAUAGAGCUUUCCACCAGCCAUAUAUGCAUGUAGUAUAGCCUUAUUAUUGUUCAUUAUUCUCUAUGUGUUACAUUGCCAGCAUAUUCUAUGUGCUGACCCGUUUACGGGCUGCAACGUUUCAUGUUGCAGACUCUUCAGACGACGAGUAAGGUGCCUUAGGUCGUGGUCUUAUACUCAGUGAUGCCGCUGGAGUUGAUGGACUCACUUAUCUUCCAAGUCUUCCGCUGUUAUCGUUAUUAGAUGGCCUUAAGCCAUGUUUAUCAUACUUAAUAUCUUUGGAGAUAUUCGAUGUAAUAAGUGUGUGAUUGCUACUCUGUUAUAAAUCCUCCAUUUGUACUGUGCGUGUCAGCAUUACUGAUCCAGGGAUGACACUGGUGCACAGCAGCACAGACCAUUUGAGGUCUGGUCGCUACAAAGUUGGUAUCAGAGCACACGCUGACUGUAGGACACGACCACUAAGCUUAAGCCCUAGAAAGCUUCUCUCUUCUCAUUUCUGACCCCUAUCCACUUUCUACUCUUUUAGGAAUGGCGAAUGCAAGGAGCAAGUUCAUGCAACCAGAUGAAGACACGCCGUUUGGUCGACACUUGAAGGAAGUCACCAAGUACUUGAACAUAGGAAUACCAAGCAUCACCGGAACCUACAACGCCACAUUACCUGAAGAGGAGAGCUGGAAGAUUCAAGUUCACAUUCCAGGAAGGACGUUUGUGCCAGUUACUGAACCCAUAAGAUUGGUUUUCGAAGCACCAACCUGGAGUUUAGGGAAGAGCAUGGCCGCACACGUCGCCAUGAGACGCAUUGGAGAAGUCUACCACCAGGAGCUUAAGGAUACAAUUUACCAAAUUUGUGGACGCCGAGACGCGCAAUGGGAGAUGAUCAGAACCAAGAAGGAUGGAUCAAUUGCAGCUUUCAUCCAGGAGGAGAACCAACACAUUCGUCGCCAGGAGAACCAGAUGUGCACGGACAAGGAAGAACUGAAGAAGGCAUUGACGAAGAUCAAGGAGCUGGAGGAAGAACUCAAGGCUACACGCGAGGAUUAUUUGGAAGAAAUCAACGCACUAGUAGGGAAGAAUGACGACCUAGAGAAGAAGAUUGGAAUAUUCAUGGGAAAUCCAGUGCCAAAGGCAGAAGUCGACGAAUGCACUUGUCCGGAUAACUACAUCAUCAUCGACGACACUGACUCGGAACCAAGUGAAUAUGACUGGGUUGACGAAGCUGGAGCAGACAUCAUGGAGUCUUCAACGGAUCAGAAUUUCUAGUAGACCACCAUAUCAGUAGUAGUUUUCCCCCAUUUAAUAGUAUAGUUCAAGCACUUUGUAACGCUAGCUAGAUCGAUUGUUUUGCCUUGUUUGAAUUGAUUGAGUGAUAUUGAUUGAAUUUGUCUCAUGAGCAUAUGGGUAGUGUUUUCUCUCUAGACCUCAUUCUAUUCUUAACUCUCAUCUUUUCUAAACCUAUCAGAUGCCUCCGAGACGCGACACCGGAUUUGUUUUCCCGCCAGAGAUCACCCAGUUGAUUCAGCAACAGAAUGCCCUGAUGCAAGUGUUAGUGCAGAACCAAGGCAACAACAACAACAACAACCCACCGCCACCACCACCUGUUGAUCACUUAGCCCGUUUCUUAAGGCUAAACCCGUCGGUGUUUUCCAGUAGCACCGAGCCGAUUGUAGCAGAUGAUUGGCUCCGCAAAGUUGGAAGGGAGUUGACCACUGCAAGAUGCACAGAUGCGGAAAGAGUGCGUUUUGCCGCACAUCAGCUUGAUGGACCCGCAGCAUCAUGGUGGGAGAAUUAUACAGCCACGCACCCUAUUGACACUGUCACAUGGGACCAGUUUCAGCAAGCUUUCCGUACAGCACAUCUUUCAGCAGGAGCUAUGGCUAUGAAGAAGCGUGAGUUUCGCAGCCUACACCAAGGAGGACGCACCGUAGGCCAGUAUGUGGAGGAUUUCAGUAAGCUAGCACGUUAUGCACCAGAUGACGUUGCUACAGAUGCAGCCAAGCAGGAGAAAUUUUUGGAAGGGCUGAAUGAUGAACUGAGUAUGCAGUUGAUGGUAGCAACCUUCAACAACUACCAGGAGCUGGUAGAUAGAGCUCUCAUGAUUGAAGGGAAGCAACAGCAGAUUGAAAACCGUAAGAGGAAGUAUGGACAAGGGAAGUAUAACUCAGGAGCUCAGCAGAAGCCUCGAUUUACCCCGAAGCCGGGAGGACAGUUUCAGCAUACCCAUGGAGGAGGUAGUUCGCACAACCAUAAUGGCUCUAAAAAUGGUAAUGGGAAUGGAGGAAGCAACGGACAGAACCGCACCAACCCAUCUACCCCAGCCAAGAGGGACCUGAGCCAAGUCACUUGUUUCAAGUGCCAGAAGAAUGGACAUUAUGCCAAUGAAUGUCCUGAAGCCCAAAAUGGAAAUGGCAAUGGAAGCUCUGGGAAGAAGCCGAACCCGUUCAACAAAGGACACGUGAACCACGUGAGCGUGGAGGAGGUUGAAGCUCAGCCUGAUGCAGUAAUAGGUAAGUUCUUGGUUAAGUCAUUUACUGCAACCGUUCUUUUCGAUACUGGUGCAUCGCAUUCAUACAUAUCAAGGGGAUUUGUGAAUAAGUUUAAGAUGUCCACCAAAGUUCUCAGAAACCCUAUGUUAGUAACCUCGCCAGGAGCAGAGUAUAUGGCCACCCAAGGAUGUUUUCAGAUACCAUUGGCCAUUGGUAGGCAUGUUUUCCCCUCAGACCUCAUAGUUUUGGAGUCGCAAGGUUUGGAUGUGAUUUUGGGGAUGGAUUGGCUAUCGUUGUAUGGAGGAAACAUCGAUUGUGCCAGCAAGACGAUUUUGCUUACCACCCCGGAAGGGAAAAGGAUCAAGUAUGUAUCCCGACAUAUGCCGAAGAGGACUCAAGUAAAUUCCUUAUCAGGAGUUGUACAGGAGGAAGUACCAGUGGUGAAGGAUUAUCCGGAUGUAUUUCCAGAAGAGUUGCCAGGCAUGCCACCAGAUAGGGACAUUGAGUUUUUGAUUGAACUUUUGCCAGGCACAGGGCCAAUAUCUAAGAGACCGUACAGGAUGCCCGCAAAAGAUUUGGAGGAAAUUAAGAAGCAGAUCAAGGAGUUACUGGAUAAAGGCUAUAUUCGCCCAAGUUCGUCACCUUGGGGAUCACCAGUACUUCUAGUGGAGAAGAAAGAUGGAUCGCUGAGGAUGGUUGUUGAUUACCGUGGAUUGAAUGAAGUAACCAUCAAAAACAAGUACCCACUGCCGAUGAUCAAUGAUUUGUUUGACCGCCUACAAGGAGCUAAAGUAUUUUCCAAGAUCGAUCUACGAUCAGGAUAUCAUCAGUUAAAGAUUCGAGAGCAGGAUAUACCAAAGACGGCUUUUACCACCAGAUAUGGAUUGUAUGAGUAUACCGUUAUGUCAUUUGGUCUGACUAACGCACCUGCCUAUUUCGAGAGCCGGAAGGUUUUGUCGAUCCUAAGAAUGCUAACAAAGUAUGCAAGCUCCAGCGCUCAAUCUAUGGGCUGGUGCAAGCAUCUCGGAGUUGGAACAUUCGCUUUGAUGAGAUGAUCAAAGCGUUUGGGUUUACACAGACUUAUGGAGAAGCCUGUGUUUACAAGAAAGUGAGUGGGAGCUCUGUAGCAUUUCUCAUAUUAUAUGUGGAUGACAUAUUAUUGAUGGGAAAUGAUAUAGAAUUCUUGGAAAGAGUAAAGGCCUAAUUGAAUAAGUGUUUUUCAAUGAAGGACCUUGGAGAAGCUGCUUAUAUAUUAGGCAUCAAGAUCUAUAGAGUUAGAUCAAGACGCCUCAUUGGUCUUUCACAGAGUACAUACCUUGACAAAAUAUUGAAGAAGUUCAAUAUGGAUCAGUCCAAGAAGGGGUUCUUGCCUGUAUUGCAAGGUGUGCAGUUGAGCAUGGCUCAAUGUCCGACCACGGCAGAAGAUAGAGAAAAGAUGAGUGUCAUCCCCUAUGCCUCGGCCAUAGGGUCUAUUAUGUAUGCCAUGCUGUGUACCAGACCUGAUGUAAACCUUGCCGUAAGUUUGGUAGGAAGGUACCAAAGUAAUCCCGGCAUGGAACACUGGACAGCGGUCAAGAAUAUCCUGAAGUACCUGAAGAGGACUAAGGAUAUGUUUCUCGUUUAUGGAUGUGACGAAGAGCUCGUCGUAAAGGGUUACGUCGACGCUAGCUUCGACACAGAUCUGGAUGACUCGAAGUCACAAACCGGAUACGUGUAUAUUUUGAAUGGAGGAGCAGUAAGCUGGUGCAGUUGCAAGCAAAGCGUCGUGGCGGGAUCUACAUGUGAAGCGGAGUACAUGGCAGCCUCGGAGGCAGCACAGGAAGCAGUCUGGAUGAAGGAGUUCAUUACCGACCUAGGGGUGAUUCCCAAUGCGUCGGGCCCGAUGACUCUCUUCUGUGACAACACUGGAGCUAUUGCCCUUGCGAAGGAGCCCAGGUUUCACAGGAAGACCAGGCAUAUCAAGCGUCGCUUCAACUCCAUUCGUGAAAGUGUUCAAAAUGGAGACAUAGAUAUUUGUAAAGUACAUACGGACCUGAAUGUAGCAGAUCCGUUGACUAAACCUCUCCCUAGAGCAAAACAUGAUCAACACCAGGACGCAAUGGGUGUUCGAUUCAUCACAAUGUAACUAGAUUAUUGACUCUAGUGCAAGUGGGAGACUGUUGGAAAUAUGCCCUAGAGGCAAUAAUAAAUGGUUAUUAUUAUAUUUCUUUGUUCAUGAUAAUCGUCUAUUGAUCAUGCUAUAAUUGUAUUGUCCGGUAAUCAUAAUACAUGUGUGAAUGCAUAGACCACAACGUGUCCCUAGUAAGCCUCUAGUUGACUAGCUCGUUGAUCAAUAGAUAGUCAUGGUUCCUGACUAUGGACAUUGGAUGUCAUUGAUAACAGGAUCACAUCAUUAGGAGAAUGAUGUGAUGGACAAGACCCAAUCCUAAGCAUAGCAUAAAAGAUCGUGUAGUUUCGUUUGCUAGAGCUUUUCCAAUGUCAAGUAUCUUUUCCUUAGACCAUGAGAUCGUGCAACUCCCGGAUACCGUAGGAGUGCUUUGGGUGUGCCAAACGUCACAACGUAACUGGGUGACUAUAAAGGUGCACUACGGGUAUCUCCGAAAGUGUUUGUUGGGUUGGCAUGGAUCGAGACUGGGAUUUGUCACUCCGUGUGACGGAGAGGUAUCUCUGGGCCCACUCGGUAAUGCAUCAUCAUAAUGAGCUCAAUGUGACUAAGGGUUAGUCACGGGAUCAUGCAUUGCGGUACGAGUAAAGAGACUUGCCGGUAACGAGAUUGAACAAGGUAUUGGGAUACCGACGAUCGAAUCUCGGGCAAGUAACAUACCGAUUAACAAAGGGAAUUGCAUACGGGAUUGAUUGAAUCCUCGACACCGUGGUUCAUCCGAUGAGAUCAUCGUGGAACAUGUGGGAGCCAACAUGGGUAUCCAGAUCCCGCUGUUGGUUAUUGACCGGAGAGGCGUCUCGGUCAUGUCAGCUUGUCUCCCGAACCCGUAGGGUCUACACACUUAAGGUUCGGUGACGCUAGGGUUGUAGAGAUAUGUGUAUGCGGAAACCCGAAAGUUGUUCGGAGUCCCGGAUGAGAUCCCGGACGUCACGAGAGGUUCCGGAAUGGUCCGGAGGUGAAGAAUUAUAUAUAGGAAGUCAAGUUUCGGCCACCGGGAAAGUUUCGGGGGUUACCGGUAUUGUACCGGGACCACCGGAAGGGUCCCCGGGGUCCACCGGGUGGGGCCACCUAUCCCGGAGGGCCCCGUGGGCUGAAGUGGGAAGGGAACCAGCCCCUAGUGGGCUGGGCGCCCCCCAUGGGCCUCCCCCCAUGCGCCUAGGGUUGGGAACCCUAGGGUGGGGGGGCUUCCCACUUGCCUUGGGGGGCAAGGCACCCCCUUUCCCCCUUUGGCCGCCGCCCCCCCUUGAGAUCCCAUCUCCAGGGCCGGCGCCCCCCCAGGGGGCCUAUAUAAAGGGGGGGAGGGCAGCAACAAGACAGCCUUGGGCGCCUCCCUCCUCCCCUGCUACACCUCUCCGUCUCGCAGAAGCUCGGCGAAGCCCUGCCGAGACCCGCUACAUCCACCACCACGCCGUCGUGCUGCUGGAUCUCCAUCAACCUCUCCUUCCCCCUUGCUGGAUCAAGAGGAGACGUCGCUGCACCGUACGUGUGUUGAACACGGAGGUGCCGUCCGUUCGGCACUCGGUCAUCGGUGAUUUGGAUCACGGCGAGUACGACUCCGUCAUCCACGUUCAUUGGAACGCUUCCGCUCGCGAUCUACAAGGGUAUGUAGAUGCACUCCUUUCCCCUCGUUGCUAGCAUACUCCAUAGAUGCAUCUUGGUGAGCGUAGGAAAAUUUUAAAUUAUGCUACGAUUCCCAACAAUUUCAGCCCAACCGACGAUGGACUCGUCGGAGCCCGACAAUUUUUUACCAAGGUGCUCCAAUUCUGCUCAAAUCCCCUCCAAUUUUCGGCGACCAACCCCGAUUCCGACCGAUUUUGAUCAAUUCCUACGUAGGCUACCGAGCGGGGCAUGGGGCGAGCAGCCAAACGGGUCCGCAUGCGCGCGUGAACAGGGGAGAGGGGUGGGGCCGCGGGCGUGCGUGAACAGGGGAGAAGGGUGGAGCCGCCGACGCGCGUGAACAGAGGAGAGGGGUGGGGCCGCGGGCGCACGUGAACACGGGAGAGGGGUGGGUCGCCGGCGUGCGUGAACAGAGAAGAUGGGUGGGGCCGUGGGCGCGCAUGAACAAGGGAGAGGGGUGGGGCCGUGGGCGCGCAUGAACAAGGGAGAGGGGUGGGGCCGCGGUGCACGCUGGGGGUUAGCCGGCCGGGGCGCCCGCCCACGAGCCGCGCGCGAGAAGGAAAGCGGGUCGGGGUUGUGGGCAGGAGCUCGAAGGCGGCUGGCCGCGGUGCGGACAUCCACUAGAUCAAGAUCGGGUACAUGGUGACCUUCAAGUUGGUGACUCCCACGCCGUGAAGGUGAUCGUCUUCAACAACGACGGCAUUAAAGUGAUGACCAAGUUGCAGGAGGCACGACGACGCAUUCAUCGUGAACGUUUAUGAGAGCUCUAUAUUGCGCAUGCUGGUUUGGUUACGACUGUGUCAUAAUGGUUCGGUUGAAAACUACUUAAUUUAAGUGUCGUACUAUGUUUGAAAACUGUUUGAAUUGAUUUAAAACUAUGUUUAUAUGAUAUUUGUUUGUGUGUCAUUGGUUUGUUCCGCAUGCCUAGUGUAUUGAUAACCUCACCACCUUCACGAGGAAGUUACCAAACAACAUGCCCUGCAUGUAAUCAAACACCAUGACUUGUGUUUUCGCCUAAACAAGUGGGCAACCAAACAACCUACCUUUCGUUUCGUCCCACGCAGGCUAGAAGGUAUGCAGUCAACCAAACAAUAUACAGAUGUUAAUAUUUUUGCAUGUUUACUUUCAAUUGAGACAUAGAUGCAAUGCAAGCAAAAGUAGAUACGGCAAACAAACACACCCAUGGUGCCUAUCAUGUUUUCCAAAAAACGCACCUCCGAAGGUGGGAUUUUUUUUAACAGAAAUCCUCCGCUACAUUUUAUUUUAUUUUUCCCUGAAAAAAAAGAAGCGGAGGAUUUCUGCCACGAUACUAUCCGCACUGUGCGCGGAGCAUCUCUUCCCCGUAGGCACACACACGGCCGUCCCUGGACCCACCUGUCUUCCACGGACAUCGACUCACCCAUCUCCGAACCGCCCCCCCUCUGUCGCCACACCCCCGUCCCCACGCCCGCGGCGCAAAACCCCGCUAAAUUUUUCGCUCCGCCCGCCCCCAAGUCUCGCCACCGCCGCCAUCCUCCAAAUCGUCGGAGAAGAUAAUCCCCAGGACCCCCUUAGGGAUGUACGCCGACAUCCAGAAGGGUCGGCCGGGCUGCCGCCCCGUCGACGCCGCCUCCAUGGCGAAGCUCAUGAAGGUCUGGGCGAGGUACUUCCCCGAGGAAACCGAGCUCCAGGUCCCGGCGGACGACCCCAGGGCCAGGCUCGUCGGCGACCUGGUUAAGGUCCUGGAGCUGGAGGAGAGGGCCAAGCUCCUCCCACGUGUAAGCAUCUGUCUCCAUUCCCCGUAUAGCGCCUCAUUUUUGGCCCAUCUCUUAUGGUGACGCGAUUCUAGGGUUGCUUACUCGGUUCGGCCGCGACGAAAUUAUGGCGGUUGCUGCGCGACUGGUUGGUGCCUAGGGUUUAUCGGAUUGGCUGAUUGAUCGUUAGUUGAAAUUUUCUGGGAGUGGCAGCUGACAUUGUAACUGUAUAUAGUUAAAAUGCUUGCAGUCUCGUGCCUAAUGUCUGUUUGGUUCCAAUUAUUUAAGUUCCUGAGCUUGCCAUUGCUAGACAUUUAAUUGGGUACCAUUGUUAGUAAAAUGUGUGUUGGUUCCUUGCUGUUAGGGCAGAAUUUGGGUAAUAAUUUACUUAUCUGAUCGAAUCGACCUCGAAAUUUGGGGCAGAAUUUGUUUCUACAAUCUUCAAGAUCAAGGUCUCAAUGCGAUGGUGGCUCCUGGUAUAUGAAGUAGUGACAUAUCUAAUCAGAAAAGGGGAAUACUCUUCUUUAUUAGGAGGGAAAAGAAUCAAGAGGAGCUUGUAAUUUUGUGAAUAACUUUGAUACUUUUGUGCUCCACUUUGUCAGUAUCAUAAGAUUACUUAUACGUUUAUACCCCAAUGUGCUGCUGCGAUAACUACCUAAAGCACGACGCAAUGUUCCAAUUGAAAAAUGAAAUCAUGGCAUCAUGUAGUUGCACAAUAAAUUACUAAUCGGGUGGAAAUGAUUUAAACACAUCGCUUCAUAGUGUGCUUUUGUCAUUACAUGGAAAAAUAUUUCCGGUUCCAGCAAAUGAACGAAUUCAUGUUAUUAUAACUUAUGACUACAUUCACAGGUUGAAGAUGAUGGUGUUGUCUUCUUCCUUCCGAUUGAUUUCCAGCAGCUUAAGAACUUGUGCGGUGGUACCAACCUCUUAGAUGCUCUCAGGGAAAAUCCUAAAGAAGCCUUGCUUUGCAUGGGAGUUGCAGUUCAUCUGGUUGAUGCUUCAUUUCAUGCUAAAAUUAUUAGUGUUGUCAGUUGUGCUUUGUUUUUUCACUCGCUGGACUUUGAUUCUUGAUGUUUUCUUCAGGUUAAGUGCUCGGGCAAUGGCCUCCAGUUGAGCGACGUAGACAAGGUCAAUAUCAGGCUUUACAACCACACCGAGACAAUAAUUGCUUUGAAGAAUUUGAAAGCGGCCUAUAUUAGUAAGAACUUCUGUCUUUAUCCGUGUGUUCUGCAUCUAAAUGAAGUACUGACUUGUUGAUUCACCUCAUAGAGAAACUAGUGACAGUGCGUGGUACUGUUGUAAAAGUCAGUACUGUGAAACCUCUAGUUCUGGCGCUGGAGUUCAAAUGCAUGAAGUGUGCUACAGUCAUCCGUCGUGUGUUCUCUGACGGGAAAUUUUCACCUCCAGUAUCCUGCAUAAUUCAGGGCUGCAAGGGCAGAACCUUCACCCCAUUGAGAUCUACUGCCAAGUUGAUAGAUUUUCAGAAAAUAAGGCAAGUGAUAAAUAGAUAAUCUGUGUCAUUCUCUGCUUAUAACACUAAGCUCUGUUUUUAUUAUUUUCAAUCCAGGAUACAGGAGCUUUCUAGUGCUGAAAACCGUGAAGAAGGCCGAGUGCCACGAACUAUAGAAUGUGAGCUUAUAGAAGAUCUUGUAGAUUGUUGCAUCCCUGGAGAGGUUGUAACGGUAGCUGGAAUCGUCAAAGUGCUGAACAACCAUAUGGAUGUUGGAGGAGGUACAAUUUUGAAGAAACUAGUAUCUUAUUUCUCGUUGUUCAUUUCUGAACCUUCCUGGAUACUAUAUUUUACAUUGUUUCAAAGCCUGAAUCCUCUUUGCAAAAAAAAUAAAAAUGCUAAUGUUCAGGUGUCCCAAAUUUCCUGCAACACCUGUAGAGCACAUAUGUUUUCAGUCUUUUGUUAAGGUUGUUCAGUAGUUUGGGUUGGUUGUCUAGUUCUGGUGCAUUAUGGACUACUAGGUGUAACCGUAUCAGGUAGUUCACAAGAACAAUUAUCAAGUUCCAUGUUACUCUUAGGGAAAACCUAUCUCCUGCUACGUUUGUUAUCCCUAAAACCUCUCCUCAUUUUAUCUUUACCUUAACCAAAACAUUCACUCUUUUUUAGACAUUGUUGCUUUCUAUGAUUUCCUUUAAUAUAAGACUCAAGAAUUGUUUGUAGAACAAUGAUGAUAGCCAAAAGGUUACUAUGUGUGGCGUCCAUGUCCUUGCCACAUGCAAUAGUCGUGAUGAUUUCUCUGUCAUGCACGGUAUCCCAUACAAAAGGCCAUGCACGCCACACAAAGCAGGAAAGUGUCGGAUCAACAGACCAUGUCAGCAAUGAGACGUGUCCAGGAGGGAUAUGUCGGGACAGACUCGGUGCUCCUGGAGGCAGCAUCCACUGCCACUGUCUUGCCGCAGCCAAAAGUUGUGGGUGAGGGGAGGACAAGUUCAAUCCCCAUGCCUCCUCAGUGCCAUCAAGGGUUAGACUGUUAGAGCAGAUUAUAGGUGGUAGGUGCAACAUAUCGGCUGGAUGGGAGAUACAAAGAGUGAGAGAUAGAGGUGAAUUGCGUCUUCAUUGAUUUAAUAUAUUACUCCCUCCGUUCCAAAUUACUCGUCGCAGAAAUGGAUGUAUCUAGAACUAAAAUACAUCUAGAUACAUCCAUACAUGCGACAAGUAAUUCGGAACGGAGGGAGUACAUUACAGUUCCUUUAUGUAGUCUCUACUGGCGUAUCUGUGUAUGACCUUAUACCUAAUAAUCCUAAGUUCCUAACUGACCACAACUCAUAUUUGAAUCUAGUUGCACUGUCCUGGACUGGUCUCGAGAUCAAUGAUACCAAUGGCAUUGAUCCGGGUGGACUAAUUGAAUGCACUGGAGCCCGAGUCAUAGACAGCCAGUAAUAGGUUUGGGUAGUUGCGGGAGCUGCAGCGUUGGCACAACUGGCCUGUAUUCUAGGCCCAGCUGAAUUGGGUUCAGCUGCUGCCCGUCUGGUGGUUAUACACCCCACAACUGAUCCCAUGAUCAUAUCCUGAUCUCUUGUGUAGUUCUUUCUGGUUCUACCAUGCAAACACAAUCAGUGAAGUUCAUAUUAGUCUGAUGCCGGUGCAUUCUUUUUCCAAAACAUUCUUGUUUGUACUAUGUAGAUGCAUAUUUUCUUAAAUUGUCCUGUGGAUAUAUACAUAUAUUUUUAAUAUCUUCAGGUAAGUCCAAAAGCAGAAAUCAGGGUUUAUACUACUUGUACUUGGAAGCAAUCUCAGUAAGGAACUCCAAGGCCCAUGUUGUUUCAGAAAAUUCAGAUGCAAGUUCUACUGAUAUUCUGGCUACUGGAUCCUUCAGUUUCGAAACUUUUACUGAUAAGGAUCUUAAAUUCAUCACCGAAUAUAAUAGCGAGCAUGGUGCUGAUGUAUUUCGUCAAAUACUUCACUCCUUUUGCCCCUCCAUCUAUGGGCAUGAACUUGUAAAGGGUAAUUUUCUAUUCUAGUACACUGUUUUAAAUCCUAAUGUGGUAUUUUCUUGCAGUAAUUUAAUUAGAAGGUAUUUGCGCUGGCUAUUUAAUGUGAUUAAAUAUUUACAUUUUGUCUGCUCAGUGUUGUCCAAACAUUUGGAAAUAAAUCAAUCUGUUGUGCUCUCUUUAGUUUCUGUAUAUAAGAAAUGAUAACUAUUAUUUUAGCUUCAUUACUUGUGGACAUGUGCAGCGUUUUCAGUAACGAUUAUUUGAUUAUUCAUUAUUUCACGGUAAGUACUCUUGUGCCGUCUCCAAAAAAACCAAUUCAGCUGUGAGGAAUUGAUCAAGCUAUUAGUGCAGAGUUCAGUAAGGGGAUAUGUUCUCUUUCUUUUCAAGAGCCAGCGUUCUAAAGAAUGAAGGAAAGAAAAGAGUGCAAACUGUAUUUUUGAACGUAAAAAUAUUAAAUUAUCAAAAGUUCGACGAGUAGAAUAAAGACAUGCCUUAUUUUCUAAGAGAGCAAACAUCAAGAAUGAAUGUUUGUCCAUCUCCAGUUCUUCUUAUGAUCAAUACCUGCAUCUUCAUUAGUACAUGACGACCUAGCUACCGCUUGCUGACUUAAAUCUUGGUGGGAAGGCGGUGCCUAAUGCUUAGGCAGCCGUCUAGUCCAAUUUUAGAACACUGUCGAUAGUGCAGAGUUCUCAUUUCAGCGCAGUAGCAUUUGCUUGGAUGCCGCUUCUUCUGAUUCGUUUUGUUUCUUUGUUGCAUUAUAUUACUGGACAUGACUAAAUUAAUGUUUCUAAAUUUCAGCUGGUAUCACUCUUGCGCUUUUUGGUGCUGUGCAGAAGCAUUCAAUGGAUCAGAACAAAGUCCCAAUUAGAGGAGACAUCCAUGUUAUUAUUGUUGGUAAUCCUUAUAAUUUACCAAUCAUGAUCCAUGUAGUACAUGCUUAGCACUUCCCAGGAUGCAAUCAUACUCUUGCUUAAUGUUGUCGCAGGCGAUCCAGGACUAGGCAAGAGCCAAUUACUAAAAGCUGCAGCAUCUGUUUCCCCACGGGGAAUAUAUGUAUGCGGGAAUACAACCACAAAUGCUGGUCUAACAGUUGCUGUGGUUAAAGAUUCAAUGACAAAUGAUUAUGCAUUUGAGGCUGGUAAGCAUGGAAGAUUUAUUUGUUCCUCACACAUUCUGUGGAGAACCUUGUCAGAAAGUCAGCUAAUUCGAUCAUUUGUUGUCAUAUAAUUGGUUGUUCUACUGUUUUGUGGCCGAUGUGGUUUGAAGUCUUAGAAUUUGUGAUUGGAUCAAAAUAAUGUUAAGCUCUUGGCUUUACAGGGGCCAUGGUUCUUGCUGACCGUGGGCUAUGUUGCAUUGAUGAGUUUGACAAAAUGUCAGCAGAGUAUCAGGUAUUAUUUUUAGUUUUCACCUGAUACAACCUUCUUGGUGAAAUGUUCAUUCAGUAAAAGAUGUUCUAUACUUUCCUUGUUUGAAAUUGAAUUUGUGUUCUCAGUCCUUACUGGAAGCCAUGGAGCAGCAGUGUGUAUCUGUGGCAAAGGCUGGCCUUGUGGCGAGUUUAUCUGCCCGCACUUCUGUGCUGGCAGCUGCUAAUCCUGUUGGUGGUCAUUACGAGUGGGUUAAUCUUUUCCAUCCUUUGAUAAAAUUUUCUACCCCUGCUUAUCGUAUGAUGUUUGUCAUUCUGGAUAUGUUGUCUUCAUUCAUCUUUCCUUCUUCAAUUGAUACUCAUUACCUGUACUGUUAUCUCUGUGCGUAUGCGCGCGAUGUGCAAUUACUACAGUGUGAUUGUUUUUGUCAACGUAAUGUUCUUUUUGCACUCACACAACCACACAAGUCACCGUGCCUGGAACAGGCAGACCUGUAAGCAAAUACCAUUUCCUUGUGUAUUCUGGUGUUGUUCCUUAUUUUUGCUUGUCAGUGAGAUGUAGGUAACAGAUCUUAAAUUCCUGGGUUGUUUUCAACUUUUAGUAAUACUAUUUUUGCAGCCGAGGCAAAACAGUGAAUGAGAAUUUAAAGAUGAAUGCUGCCCUGCUCUCUCGGUUUGACCUGGUUUUCAUUUUACUUGACCAGCCAGACUUGUUUCUAGAUAAGAGAGUAUCAGACCACAUAAUGGCAGUAAGUUUUUGUUAUCCAUUUUUUGUCCACAUCUUAAGCAUAUAGUACCGAUGAGCAAUAUCACCACAUAUAAUAAAUGUGUCAGGGCUUUAAUCUAAUUAAAAAAACUAAGGAAAAAACAACAUUUUCUACACGCAGCUCCAUACCAAUGACAGAAGUCCUUGCUCAUCCAACAAGAGGCUAAGAACAGGUCAUUCUUUGGUUAUUCCAUAGCAUUUUUAGUUCCUUUUUACAUGUGAAACCGUAUACAUCGUUAUUGAUUUGCAACUUUGCCCCAUGCCCAGUGCCUCAAUUUAAUGGCAGUAUGGGGAUUGGAAUUGAUGAGAAAAAAUUAGCUUCAAGGCUGAGACUACACCCUGAGAAAGAUAGGGACUUUGUUCCGUUACCUGAACCACUUCUUCGCAAGUAUAUAUCUUACGCGAGAAGCUAUGUUACCCCCCGGUAUUUUGUCAGCUCCUUUUCACUUAUCAAUACCAUAUAUGUAAUGCAAUGAGUUCUCAUUUUGUUAUUUUUCUUCUCUCGGCUCAAGUGUGUCAGAACCAGCAGCGGUGGUACUGCGAAAAUAUUACUUGAAUUUGAGAGCGCAUAGUACUUGUUCUGAUGGCACACCCAUCACAGCGAGACAAUUGGAAAGCCUUGUGAGGUUAGCAGAAGCUCGCGCUCGGGUGGAUCUAAGAGAAGAAGUGACUGAACAAGAUGCGAAUGUAAAUAAGUAGAAUACUUACCCCCCGGUUCCCUCCUCCCCAUUUUGUACAUAUGCGCACCUUGCACCCUUGCACUGCCAGCUUGGAUUUCUUCAUACUUCAUACCUAAAUUACCAGCAGAGAAUUUUUCUGUUGGUUUAGGUUCUUGUCCAUGAUUGCUGGGAAAAUCUGAGUUCUUUCUCAUGCUAGUUUUCAUCCUCAGCAAAUUACUGAAUCAAACUCAGAAGCAUGAUGAAUUAUGUUUUUUAAUCUCCAUAUCAUGUCGAUGUUGCAGAUUUAUUUUUUCUGUCUGUUUGCUGCUUUAUAAAUCUGAAAAUGUGAACGUACGGUGCUUAUCGCAUGCCUAAGGCUUAUGCAAAGUGUUGUCUGGCAAAUAGACAGCCGGAUAGUUAGAUGACAUCAAGAGGCACACCUAUUUAAUAAAAAAUGGGCAUGCAAUCUCAUUCUGCGUUUUAUUAUGUUGCAGGAUGUUGUUGAGAUCAUGAAUGAAUCCUUAUAUGACAAAUAUGUUGAUGAGCAUGGUUGUGUGGACUAUGCUCGGAGUGGUGGGAUGAGCCAACAAAAGGAGGCAAAAAGACUUAUGAGUGCCUUAAACAAGCAAUCUGAGUUGCAGCAAAAGGAUCAGUUUUCAAGAGCCGUAAGCAAUUAUGCAUCUAAAAUAUUUUUGAUGAAAGGCUGGUCUGUUAUUGCAUAUACGCAAACCAACUGACAUGGAAAGAGUGCCAAUUUUAGUUCAGUUACAAUUCUGGUCCUGCUAUGAUCGACGAAAUUUUGACAUACUUGCUUUUUGUGCAUUUUGAUUCUUUUGUUACGCGGUUUCUCCAGUCAAUAGGAGCAUCUUCUUGAGGUUCCUCUGAUGUUCUGUAAUUUUCCCUUUGUAGGAGAUACGGAGCUUAGCAGAUAAAAUCAGCUUGCAAGUCCCGGAUUUAGAUGAUAUUAUGGAAAGAUUGAACAGUGCCGGUUUUAUUGUACAUAAAGGACAAAACAUAUACCAGGUAUUGUCUCAUAAAACUGCUUGACAUCAAGAAGUUUUGAUGUAUACAUUAGAUGGUUAUCCUGGUGUCGUGCUGAUUAUUGAUUAUGAGUUUAUGACUGUCAGGCUCGUGAUGAGCCCUCCACUGAGAAUCUAACUUAUUAUUGUCUGUGAAACAGAUAUUGACCUCAUCAUGUUCACGGACCCAGCCAACAAGGUCAAGAUGGUGAGUUCUCUUACACCCUACAUGAAAACAUGGGAGUUUGGUGUUGGUAUUAUGCUAAAUUUUAUAUCUGUGCCACACGUUAACGUCUGGUUGAUUAACAGUUACUUUGGGUCAGUGUCCAACACUUGCCAUUGUUGUGACAAGAUAACUGUUCAAAGGUUUCCUCUUUGCUGCCGAUUCAUGAUCGUUUUUUUUCUGGCAGAUGUAGGGGGGAUAUGUUCUGCAACUAGUAUGGACCGUUAUGUACAGUAUAGUCAUGUGAUGGCCUCUAAUUAAAAUGUGCGGAUAGCUCUGUUAAUGCUGUUUAUCGUAGCAGCUGUAGCUGAUAAUGACAAAAUUAGUAUCCUUACUAGUUCCAGCAUGUUAAAGAAACAUCCUGUUUUCGUUAAAGAAUCGUCUAUGUCCUGGACAUUGGUGAUCAUGAAUGCUGAUUCUUUAUGUGAAAGAAACAUAGUGUGUUUUUUUGCGGGGAAGAAACUUAAUGCUUCUAUGAGACUUGGAAUGGAAAUAACCCCUUAGGCCUGAGAAAUAGCAAACCCGCUUUGCUUACGGUUAUGUUUUUAUUUGGACGAACGCAGCAAUGCUGCUUCAUUUUAUAUUAAGAGAAAGAGUUACAACAAGUAAUUGGGCGGUGAUGAAGGUGACCACCAAGGUAGACAAAUGGAGGGCACAGAUAACAAGUUUCAUAGAAUCAUAGUACCAUCAAGGAGGCCUCCAUGUUAGCCUCCUUGGUGGUGUCACCACUCUUCUACAUUUUGCUCUACGGGAAUGUGGAACGCUGGUGUUUUAUCCUACGUCUGUGCUCUACGCUUACCAGUCGAAUUGUUUUGUGUGCUAUCCAUUUUUACAGAGAAAGCAGCCUUUAGAUUGCUCAAUCAAUAGGUCUUUUUCAAGCAUAGGCAAAAGGUAAUUUUAGGGGUCAUGGAGCCAUAUAUAUCUAUAAAUGAUAAUGAUGUUGUGCCCGCCCUGUUAGAUUCUCUCGGGUAGUGAACAAAGGUUGCUUUUCACAAACUCAGUCGCCUAGACUCAACGAUCAGUCUUGCUAUCAUAGUUGAAGCCUACCCGGUUACACCCCAUUUGCAGCGCCAUGGCUGACCUCAACAUCCUUUUUUUUUCUUGAGGUGAUUGCCUCACAUCUUGGGCAUGAACCAUGAGAGGUUCACCUGGGGUCGAUCGAUCUCGCUCACGCCGUUUGCUACCAGGUUUCUUCGCAACAGCUGUUUUGAAGUUGGCAGCCAGGACCAUGAGCAACGUAAACACGCAAUUGGAUCGAUGGGAGCUUGGAACUUCUCCCCAUUAAUGUGCCGCCAGCGUCUUCCACCGUUUUAUGAAAUGUACUACCCGCUGCUCCUAAAUACAGUACAAGUCUUUUUAAUGAUUUUAAUAUGAACUACAUAUGGAGCAAAAUAAGUGAAUCUACACUCUAAAAUAUGUCUAUAUACAUCUGUAUGUAAUCCUUAUUGAAAUUGAAAUCUCUAAAAAGACAUAUUUUUUUAAGGACGGAGGGAGUACUACGGAGUGUGUAAGUAGUUCCAGUGAUACUUUUCCUGCCCUAUCUGCCGCCAAUGCUUCACUUGUUCCGUGUUGGAAUGGGGCAUAUCUUUCGUUGCCCAUUAGUAUAGACGCCAAUGAGCAAUCAAACUAGUUUCCUCAUCGUAUCCUCUUGGGUUGUGCAGAGUUUGCAGUGAAAAACAUAAUCAGCUGUUAUUUGCAUAACUCUUCCAGUGUGAAUUACUACUACAAUCAGCAAAACUGCAUCCAUGUCAUUAUGGAUUUUGCACACAAAAAAACAUGAUACAGAAGCAUUGCAGAGGGCAGAUAAAACUUGCUAUCCAAAUCAUGGAAACAAAACUCAAUAGCGACAGACAGUCAACAGCAUCUCGCUAGUACAACUUCAGGUUACGUAUAUAGGAAUGAAAAUGCUAAAUGGUGGACGAGCUCCAUGGAGCUCGUUUUUUUGAAAAAAAAAACCCCGGAAAUUAUAGCUCCCAAGUUUCAAAAAAUCCUAAAAAGAUCACACGCGUUCAUACAGAUGUAAAUUUUAAAGAUGAUACUAUAAAUUAAUGGCGAGAGCUUCACUAGUUAGAGAAAAUCGUGAUUCUGAAAAUGGUGAACAUGUUUUGUGUAGCUCUUCAUCGUUAGAACGUGUAGAUUUUUCUCAGAAUAUUUUUAUUCAAAAUGUGUUUUUUGCUUCUUUUUGCUCAGGACAUUAAUAAUAUCCAAUCUAACCCAAAUAUCCAAUCCAAUUCACAGGUCGAUUGGUAUGGAUUUUUUUUCAGUACUACAGUACUGCAAAACUAUCUCAUCAUGCAAAAAAGAUUUUUUAAACAAACAUCAACAACAUAACACAGACAAUCAUAGCACAUGAGAUAAAACCCACUAGCCAGCAGAGUAACACAGCAACAAUAUAUAUCCAGAUCAUGGAAACAAUACUCUUAAUAGCAACUGUUAAGAGAAAGCAACAGCAGAGAAGGAACAAAUCUCGCUAGUACAACUUCAGGUUAUAUAGGACAUUGUAAACAUAGCAGGCAACUUUCCUCCUCAAACGACCAGAGCCUUACAGUCCAUUCCAUCCUUGCCUAACAAAAAUGCAACCUAAGACCUGGGCUUCUCCUUCUUCUCCUUGAAGAGAGCGAGAAGCGACACACCAGAUACCUUGACAACCUUGAACCUGACACCGGGAAUAUCUCCCACGGCAUGACCCUUACGACCGAAUCCAGCAAUCAGCACCUCGUCCUGAAGCAUCCAUCAAGUCAAGAGGUUAGGUUGGUUGCAUAUAGCAGACAUAUCACAUAUAUGCGAGCAAUGGAGGUUAGGUUGGCUGCAUAUAGCAGACAUAUCGCAUAUAUCUGAGAAAUGGGUGAGGGGCACAUACGUUCUCCUCGAUGAAGUUCAGGCAACCAUCAUUGGGCACAAAGGCAGCGAUCUUCUUCCCGUUCUUCACCAGCUGGACACGAGCACACUUACGGAUGGCAGAGUUAGGCUG